GACGAACGCUGGCGGCGUGCUUAACACAUGCAAGUCGAACGAAGUGGCGAACGGGUGAGUAACGCGUAAUCAACCUGCCCUUCAGCGGGGGACAACAGUUGGAAACGACUGCUAAUACCGCCUACUGAAGGCGGGGAUUUCGUCUGAUUCGCUAGUUGGAGGGGUAACGGCCCACCAAGGCGAUGAUCGGUAGCAGGUCUGAGAGGAGGGACGGCCACAUUGUGACUGAGACACGGCCAAGACUCCGAGGGGAGGCAGCAGUGGGGAAUAUUCCGCAAUGGACGAAAGUCUGACGGAGAAACGCCGCGUGAGUGAUGAGGGCCUUCGGGUUGUAAAGCUCUGUUAAUCGGGACGCGGUACCGGAAUAGAAAGCAACGGCUAACUACGUGCCAGCAGCCGCGGUAAUAC
rnacentral:rRNA from 1 species